rnacentral:rRNA from 1 species
GAUGAACGCUGGCGGCGUGCCUAACACAUGCAAGUCGAACGAACCUGAUCUUCGGAAAAGGUUAGUGGCGCACGGGUGAGUAACACGUAGGUGACCUGCCCUGGAGUGGGGGAUAACUUCUCGAAAGAGAGGCUAAUACCGCAUACGCUCGGCCAUUCAGUUGGUCGUGUAAAGCUCCGGCGCUCCAGGAGGGGCCUGCGUCCGAUUAGCUAGUUGGUGAGGUAACGGCUCACUAAGGCGAUGAUCGGUAGCUGGUCUGAGAGGACGAUCUGGCACACUGGCACUGACACACGGGCCAGACUCCUACGGGAGGCAACAGUGAGGAGUAUUGGUCAAUGGGCGAAAGCCUGAACCAGCAACGCCGCGUGAGGGAUGAAGGCCUUCGGGUCGUAAACCUCUUUUCUGGGAGAAGAGACAAGGACGGUAUCCCAGGAAUAAGUCUCGGCUAACUACGUGCCAGCAGCCGCAGUAAUAC